CCCCCGAUGGUCUAGUUGGAUAUGACGUUCGGCUGUAAUUGGACACAUUUCACCGAAAGGUCGCUGGCUCGAUUCCGGCUCGGGGGA
rnacentral:tRNA from 1 species